UACGUAGGGGCCUAGCGUUGUCCGGAAUUACUGGGCGUAAAGAGCUCGUAGGUGGUUUGUCGCGUUGUCCGUGAAAACUCACAACUCAAUUGUGGGCGUGCGGGCGAUACGGGCAGACUGGAGUACUGCAGGGGAGACUGGAAUUCCUGGUGUAGCGGUGGAAUGCGCAGAUAUCAGGAGGAACACCGGUGGCGAAGGCGGGUCUCUGGGCAGUAACUGACGCUGAGGAGCGAAAGCGUGGGGAGCGAACAGG
rnacentral:rRNA from 1 species